UGGCUCAGAGGUUAAAGUGUCUGCCUGCAAUGCAGGAGAUCUGGGUUCAAUCCCUG
rnacentral:tRNA from 1 species